GAUGAACGCUAGCGAUAGGCCUAACACAUACAAGUCGAGGGGCAGCAUAGAGUAGCAAUACUUUGAUGGCGACCGGCGCACGGGUGAGUAACACGUAUGCAACCUACCUACAUCAGGGGAAUAACCCGGAGAAAUUUGGACUAAUACCGCAUAAUACAGGGAUGCCGCAUGGCAAUAUUUGUUUAAGAUUUAUCGGAUGUAGAUGGGCAUGCGUUCCAUUAGCUGGUUGGUAAGGUAACGGCUUACCAAGGCAACGAUGGAUAGGGGAACUGAGAGGUUUGUCCCCCACCCAGGAACUGAGACACGGACCAGACUCCUACGGGAGGCAGCAGUGAGGAAUAUUGGUCAAUGGACGAGAGUCUGAACCAGCCAAAUCGCGUGAAGGAAGACUGCCCUACGGGUUGUAAACUUCUUCUGUACAGGAAUAAAAGACAUUACGUGUAAUGUAUUGCAUGUACUGUACGAAUAAGCAUCGGCUAACUCCGUGCCAGCCGCCGCAGUAA
rnacentral:rRNA from 1 species